rnacentral:rRNA from 1 species
UACGAGGGGUGCAAGCGUUGCUCGGAAUUAUUGGGCGUAAAGGGUAGGUAGGUGGUCUCAUUUGUCGGGGGUGAAAGCCUUGUGCUUAACACAAGAAGUGCCCCCGAAACGGUGAGACUCGAGUCUUGGAGAGGGUUGCGGAAUUCCCGGUGUAGCGGUGAAAUGCGUAGAUAUCUGGAGGAACACCGGUGGCGAAGGCGGCAUCCUGGACCGGCAUUGACGCUGAGGCGCGAAAGCUAGGGGAGCAAACGGG